rnacentral:rRNA from 1 species
UUAUCGGAGAGUUUGAUCCUGGCUCAGGACGAACGCUGGCGGCGUGCCUAAUACAUGCAAGUCGAGCGGACAGAUGGGAGCUUGCUCCCUGAUGUUAGCGGCGGACGGGUGAGUAACACGUGGGUAACCUGCCUGUAAGACUGGGAUAACUCCGGGAAACCGGGGCUAAUACCGGAUGGUUGUUUGAACCGCAUGGUUCAAACAUAAAAGGUGGCUUCGGCUACCACUUACAGAUGGACCCGCGGCGCAUUAGCUAGUUGGUGAGGUAAUGGCUCACCAAGGCAACGAUGCGUAGCCGACCUGAGAGGGUGAUCUACCACACUGGGACUGAGACACGUACCAGACUCCUACGGGAGGCAGCAGUAGGGAAUCUUCCGCAAUGGACGAAAGUCUGACGGAGCAACGCCGCGUGAGUGAUGAAGGUUUUCGGAUCGUAAAGCUCUGUUGUUAGGGAAGAACAAGUACCGUUCGAAUAGGGCGGUACCUUGACGGUACCUAACCAGAAAGCCACGGCUAACUACGUGCCAGCAGCCGCGGUAAUACGUAGGUGGCAAGCGUUGUCCGGAAUUAUUGGGCGUAAAGGGCUCGCAGGCGGUUUCUUAAGUCUGAUGUGAAAGCCCCCGGCUCAACCGGGGAGGGUCAUUGGAAACUGGGGAACUUGAGUGCAGAAGAGGAGAGUGGAAUUCCACGUGUAGCGGUGAAAUGCGUAGAGAUGUGGAGGAACACCAGUGGCGAAGGCGACUCUCUGGUCUGUAACUGACGCUGAGGAGCGAAAGCGUGGGGAGCGAACAGGAUUAGAUACCCUGGUAGUCCACGCCGUAAACGAUGAGUGCUAAGUGUUAGGGGGUUUCCGCCCCUUAGUGCUGCAGCUAACGCAUUAAGCACUCCGCCUGGGGAGUACGGUCGCAAGACUGAAACUCAAAGGAAUUGACGGGGCCCGCACAAGCGGUGGAGCAUGUGGUUUAAUUCGAAGCAACGCGAAGAACCUUACCAGGUCUUGACAUCCUCUGACAAUCCUAGAGAUAGGACGUCCCCUUCGGGGGCAGAGUGACAGGUGGUGCAUGGUUGUCGUCAGCUCGUGUCGUGAGAUGUUGGGUUAAGUCCCGCAACGAGCGCAACCCUUGAUCUUAGUUGCCAGCAUUCAGUUGGGCACUCUAAGGUGACUGCCGGUGACAAACCGGAGGAAGGUGGGGAUGACGUCAAAUCAUCAUGCCCCUUAUGACCUGGGCUACACACGUGCUACAAUGGACAGAACAAAGGGCAGCGAAACCGCGAGGUUAAGCCAAUCCCACAAAUCUGUUCUCAGUUCGGAUCGCAGUCUGCAACUCGACUGCGUGAAGCUGGAAUCGCUAGUAAUCGCGGAUCAGCAUGCCGCGGUGAAUACGUUCCCGAGCCUUGUACACACCGCCCGUCACACCACGAGAGUUUGUAACACCCGAAGUCGGUGAGGUAACCUUUUAGGAGCCAGCCGCCGAAGGUGGGACAGAUGAUUGGGGUGAAGUCGUAACAAGGUAGCCGUAUCGGAAGGUGCGGCUGGAUCACCUCCUUU